rnacentral:snRNA from 1 species
ACUUCCUUGUCAUUAAGUCUCUG